AUUGGGCCUAAAGCAUCCGUAGCCGGCUGCUCAAGUUUCCGGUUAAAUCCACACGCUUAACGUAUGGGCUGCCGGAAAUACUGUUCAGCUAGGGAGUGGGAGAGGUAGACGGUACUCGAUAGGAAGGGGUAAAAUCCUUUGAUCUAUUGAUGACCACCUGUGGCGAAGGCGGUCUACCAGAACACGUUCGACGGUGAGGGAUGAAAGCUGGGGGAGCAAACCGGAUUAGAUACCCGGGUAGUCCCAGCUGUAAACGAUGCAGACUCGGUGAUGCAUUGGCUUAUGGCCAGUGCAGUGCCGCAGGGAAGCCGUUAAGUUUGCCGCCUGGGAAGUACGUACGCAAGUAUGAAACUUAAAGGAAUUGGCGGGGGAGCACAAG
rnacentral:rRNA from 2 species